rnacentral:rRNA from 2 species
UGCAGUCGAGCGGAUGAAGGGAGCUUGCUCCCGGAUUCAGCGGCGGACGGGUGAGUAAUGCCUAGGAAUCUGCCUGGUAGUGGGGGACAACGUUUCGAAAGGAACGCUAAUACCGCAUACGUCCUACGGGAGAAAGCAGGGGACCUUCGGGCCUUGCGCUAUCAGAUGAGCCUAGGUCGGAUUAGCUAGUUGGUGAGGUAAUGGCUCACCAAGGCGACGAUCCGUAACUGGUCUGAGAGGAUGAUCAGUCACACUGGAACUGAGACACGGUCCAGACUCCUACGGGAGGCAGCAGUGGGGAAUAUUGGACAAUGGGCGAAAGCCUGAUCCAGCCAUGCCGCGUGUGUGAAGAAGGUCUUCGGAUUGUAAAGCACUUUAAGUUGGGAGGAAGGGCAGUAAGCUAAUACCUUGCUGUUUUGACGUUACCGACAGAAUAAGCACCGGCUAACUUCGUGCCAGCAGCCGCGGUAAUACGAAGGGUGCAAGCGUUAAUCGGAAUUACUGGGCGUAAAGCGCGCGUAGGUGGUUUGUUAAGUUGAAUGUGAAAGCCCCGGGCUCAACCUGGGAACUGCAUCCAAAACUGGC